rnacentral:rRNA from 1 species
UACGUAGGGGGCGAGCGUUGUCCGGAAUUACUGGGCGUAAAGGGCGCGUAGGCGGCCUGGUAAGUCUUGUGUGAAAACCCUACUUUCAAGGUAGGAGGUGCACGGGAAACUAUCGGGCUUGAGUGCAGGAGAGGGAAGUGGAAUUCCAAGUGUAGCGGUGAAAUGCGUAGAGAUUUGGAGGAACACCAGUGGCGAAGGCGACUUUCUGGACUGUAACUGACGCUGAAGCGCGAGAGCGUGGGGAGCAAACAGG